rnacentral:rRNA from 1 species
AGCAGUAGCCUCGGUAAUACAGAGGGUGCGAGCGUUAAUCGGAUUUACUGGGCGUAAAGCGUGCGUAGGCGGCUAAUUGAGUCGGAUGUGAAAUCCCCGAGCUUAACUUGGGAAUUGCAUUCGAUACUGGUUAGCUAGAGUGUGGGAGAGGAUGGUAGAAUUCCAGGUGUAGCGGUGAAAUGCGUAGAGAUCUGGAGGAAUACCGAUGGCGAAGGCAGCCAUCUGGCCUAACACUGACGCUGAGGUACGAAAGCAUGGGGAGCAAACAGGAUUAGAUACCCCCGUAGUCCCUGUCUCUUAUAC